AGAUUUGGCUUUUUGUCGUCAGCUGUGAAGCAAAAGUUCCUGUUCCUCAGAUCAAAUCACUCCCACAGUGUUUCAGAGGCUACUGCAGCUUGCUAACACAAAGAAGAUAGCCUCCCUUUUUUAAGAAGGGAGACUGCUAAGGACUUGUUGUAACAGCAGCUUAUCAGCAGUGCACUUCUGCAAAGGAGACCUACCCCAAGAGAGGAGGAUGCUACCACCUUCCCAGAAGAUGUACCUUGAUGCUCUUUCUGUCCAAAUAACAGAGCUGGGAAUGCUGCAGCCCAUUGUCCCUCCAGAAGACAAAGGCAGAAUAUCCUCCAGCUGCUCUCUACGCACUGAAGAUGGCACCUGCUCUCUCCAGAGGCAGCAAAUCCUCUGUUCAUCUCUGGCCAGCUGGUAA